rnacentral:lncRNA from 1 species
CUCCUAGCCCACACGAGCUCGUCCUCCCCUCUCUGCCUUUUCUUCACCCUACUACACAUUUCGUCGAACACCUUGUGGGCGUGCUGCAGCUUCUUCCCGGCUCCACCACCGCCGCGGAACUUCUUCAUUCCGCCGUCCCUCGGGCCAUAAUCGUGACAAGCCCGAGCUCCGAAGCUCCGCCCGUGGAGGUCACCGUGGACAUGCCAUCCGGGGGGCUCUCCCUUCAAUUUUUCUGGAAAAACGGAACCCUCAUGCGCCAUAGAUGCUCACGCCCUCACCAAUUUGGGGGGUAG